CAGCAGCCGCGGUAAACGUAGGGAGGCGAGCGUUAUCCGGAUUUACUGGGCGUUAAGCGCGUGCAGGCGGUCGAGUAAGUCGAGCGUUGAAAGCUCCCGGCUUCAACCGGGAGAGGACGUGCGAAACUGCUGGGCUGGAGGCAGGUAGAGGCGUGUGGAAUUCCGGGUGUAGUGGUGAAAUGCGUAGAUAUCCGGAGGAACACCAGUGGCGAAGGCGACACGCUGGGCCUGACCUGACGCUAAGACGCGAAAGCAUGGGUAGCGAACGGGAUUAGAAACCCCGGUAGUCCAUGCCGUAAACGAUGCAGACUAGGUGUUGAGCGUGUGAAAGCGAGCAGUGCCGAAGCAAACGUGAUAAGUCUGCCACCUGGGGACUACGGCCGCAAGGCUAAAACUCAAAGGAAUUGACGGGGGCCCGCACAAGCAGCGGAGCGUGUGGUUUAAUUCGAGGCUACACGAAGAACCUUACCUGGGCUUGACAUGACGGUUGUAGGGAAUCGAAAGAGGACCGACCCUUCGGGGAGCCGCCACAGGUGCUGCAUGGCUGUCGUCAGCUCGUGUCGUGAGAUGUUCGGUUAAGUCCGGUAACGAGCGCAACCCUCGCCGUUAGUUACAAGUGUCUAGCGGGACUGCCCGUAGAAAGCGGGAGGAAGGUGGGGAUGACGUCAAGUCAGCAUGGCCUUUAUGUCCAGGGCUACACACACGCUACAAUGGCCGGUACAAUGGGUCGCCAACCCGCGAGGGGGAGCUAAUCCACCAAAGCCGGUCUCAGUUCGGAUUGUAGGCUGCAACUCGCCUGCAUGAAGUCGGAGUUGCUAGUAACCGCAGGUCAGCUAUACUGCGGUGAUACGUUCCCGGGCCUUGUACACACCGCCCGUCACGUCACGGAAGCUGGUCAUGCCUGAAGUCGGUGGGCUAAC
rnacentral:rRNA from 1 species